UUUAUGUCAGGAGAGUCCGAUGAAUGUGAAAACCGUACGGGAAAACCUUCCUAAGGGAGAUUUCUCUAUUAUGGCUGAAAUGCUUAAGAAAUUUCUUAAUUUCAUGAACCUGACGUGUUCUGUUGGAACUACAGGACAGAAAUCUAUCUCACGGGUGAUUGAUUUUUUGGAGCACUGUUAGCAGAGGUGUCACAGUUCCCCCUCUUCCGUGGGAUAAAUCUGGACCUGGCAACGUGCCUUAGGCCCUUCAGGACAAGAGGCAGCCGAUCCGGUGGCAAAGGUGGUUAAACGUCGCUACGGUCACGUCACCAAAGUGGCUCGCUGCAGAGACUUUCAUGUUUUUUAGUUUUUUCCUCUCACUUUCUUUUCGCUUGUUUUAAAAUUGUGUUUUAAAAUGCUGUCUCUUUCUCUCAUGCUCACACACGUACACACACACUCAGUUGUGUGUUUGCAUACUAUUUGGUUAUUGAAGCACUGAUCCUCAUGUAAAACAAAAACUAAGCUGUUUUUAAAACAAAAGAAUGAUUUUAAGCUAGUUGUCCUUGUUAGCAGUAUAAAGAUUUAGCCUAAACCUAGUAACUUAUUGAUAUUUCAAACACUGAGGGCUGAGGCUUUGUUCAGACUCGAGAUGCAAAUCCGCUUUGCUUUUCUGACUGUUUACACACGAUGUUUGUUCAAACAGUGCAGUCGGUAUCUGUAAUAUUUACAUUAGUAAAGAUGAUCCCGAGAGACUUUCUUACACAGUUGUAGAAACUGGAAACUUCACCACUGCUCAAGACACAAGCAUUAAGAGGCAUUUUUCGCAUUUAUGCAGUGUUUUUAAAAGAAGUCUCUUAUGCUCACCAAGGCUGCUUUUAUUUUACAGUGAAAACAGUAAUAUUAUGAAAUAUUGUUACAAUUUAAAAUAAGUGUUUUCUAUUUUAAGACAUUUUAAAAAUGAGUCUAUUCCUGUGAUGGUAAAACUGAAUUUUCAGCAGUCAUUACUUUAGUGAGUGUUUUUAACUGAAUGCAUCCUUACUGAAUAAAAGUCUUCUUUUGUUUGAAAAAAGAACUGUUACUGGUCCCAAACAUUUGAACAGCGGAACACAUGCUGUGUGCCAAAUGACAAAACCUUUUGAUUAGAUCCGAGUAGAUGAGUCAAAAAAAAAAAAA